GUCAAAUCUGACGUACUGCCGAAUACAAGAAAUGUUUUUUUUUCGUUUUAUCAAUCUCACAACAUGCAUUUAAAUUUUAAUAGGAUUGGUACGCAAUUUAACUCGAGCAGAUCGCAUGGCAGACUGGAAUUUACAUUUACUUACAGUCCAAGGAAAAAAGUUUUGGGGCUCUACUGAAAAUAAAAUUCGACUUCAAUCCUUUCUGCGUUUAUUUAUUUUAAAAAAUGGUUACCAAUUCUGGCCUGGCGUUCAACUGGUUUGUAGUGCUCCAAAUACCGAAGCGUUUCAAUCAACAUCAUCUUCUUCUGAUUUGUUAAAUAUGUUGAAAAGAAGAGAGAUUGAGGAAGCUGAUAUGAAAAUAAUGAUUCACAUAGCUCAGGCAGCACGUGAAAAUCAUAAGAAAAUAUGUAUUUUGUCAUCUGAUACUGACAUUAUAAUCAUGACAUUAUAUCACUUUAGAAAAUUUGAAUCUGUUGGAUUAAAGGAACUAUGGAUAAAAGCAGGAACAGGGCUACAAAACGAGACAUCGCAAUACAUAUUAUGGCAUUGCGUUGUGGCACAGAAACCUAUUUGGUACUUCCUGCACUUUACCACUUGACUGGAGCGGAUUAUACGAGCAAAGUUGGCACAAAACGUGCUGCUUUUCAAGCCGAACCAGAAAAGUAUCUUUUGAACUUUGCACAAGGUAUAAUAAUAUAUAACCACUAUAAUCCAUAAAAUUAUACCACUUAUUUAUUUUGUUUUUGGAUUUAACCAAAAGUGAAAUUGAAAGCUCUGUUCGGCUUGCAGAAGAGUUUUUGGUAAAAGUAUACCGCAAGGACAGUUCAUGUAAAAAUUUUAAUGAACUGAGAUAUUGAAUUUACCAUCACCAAAAAAAUUUUUCUUUAGAAAAGUUACCCCCAACUAGUGCAAAUAUUAGAUUUCAUAUUUUAAGAACUUUUUUUAUUGUUUAUAAUCAAAACUUUUGUUUAAAUACAUUGGAACAUACCACUUUGCUUGAUCCACUUUGUUUUGGAUACAAGAUCGAGAAUGGUUGCCUCUUACCAAAAUCAGUAACUAACCUUUUUCCCCCGAGUGACGAUCUUUUACCAAGCUGCAAUUGCACGAAAUGUUCGCGGCAAAAUAGUUGCCGUUGUAGGGCUGCUGGGUUAGAGUGCUGUUCAUUUGGUUAUUGUAAAGGAGGAAUAAACCAGUGUAAAAAUCCGUACAAUAAAUAAAUAAAGGUAAAAAGUAUAUUGUGUUCAAAUUA